AGAGCGAACGCUGGCGGCAGGCUUAACACAUGCAAGUCGAGCGCCCCGCAAGGGGAGCGGCAGACGGGUGAGUAACGCGUGGGAACGUACCUUUUGGUUCGGAACAACACAGGGAAACUUGUGCUAAUACCGGAUAAGCCCUUACGGGGAAAGAUUUAUCGCCGAAAGAUCGGCCCGCGUCUGAUUAGCUAGUUGGUGAGGUAACGGCUCACCAAGGCGACGAUCAGUAGCUGGUCUGAGAGGAUGAUCAGCCACAUUGGGACUGAGACACGGCCCAAACUCCUACGGGAGGCAGCAGUGGGGAAUAUUGGACAAUGGGCGCAAGCCUGAUCCAGCCAUGCCGCGUGAGUGAUGAAGGCCCUAGGGUUGUAAAGCUCUUUUAACGGGGAAGAUAAUGACGGUACCCGUAGAAUAAGCCCGGCUAACUUCGCGCCAGCAGCCGC
rnacentral:rRNA from 1 species